rnacentral:lncRNA from 1 species
UUUUUUAUAUAUUUAUUUUGGGGUGGGUCAAUGGUUAAGUAGAAUUAUUGGAAUCAUUUUCAUAUGGCAACAAUUUCUGACAACUAACGUGGAUAAUUAUUUAUUUUUCAAAUAUACUCUGCAAACGUGAUCACAUAUAUACCGCAAUACAUGGGCAAUUACAACGUAAAUUUUUUUCAAAUAUACUAUGCAAAUUUUUUACAACAUAAUGAUAUGAAUGUUUUGAAAUGAAGAUAUAUUGAGUGGCUGCCUAACUUAACUCUCAAGUAUUAUUUGAAAAAUUAUGAGCAGUGACUAAAAAGCAGGGAGUAAGGAGCUGCUGCUGCAUAUGAGAUCAAAGGUAGGAAGCAAAGCAACCCUUUCUGAGAGGGAAUGAAGUAUCCAGCUACAUUUGCAAUGAUGUUCCAGAAUCUGUAACUUGAAGGCGGCUUGCUGCUGCAGCCUUCACCGUUGUUGUUGUGGAGUCCGCCAUACGUUAGCCGGUUCCCAUCGAGAUGUGUCAGCACAGCAAAUGAUCUGAAGACACACUGUUAACAUAUGGGAAGUUGCAUCUGCCAAUGCCAUGAUCAAAAUGAAGCAGAUGGCCAGAGCUUGGAGUUCGUUUCCAGUUACCUAAUGAAGGAACAAAAGGCGCUUUAGAAAAUAAACAAGAUCUUCAAAACAAACCAACAGACAUGGAUGGACAAGAAUCAUUGAUGUGAAACUUCAAAAGCUGUAAUUGUAGCACAGAAGCACAGAAUUUCUUCAAGCGCGUCCAAGAACUAAGACAGACACAUUCUUGUCUACAAGACAGUAGGUGAAGCAACCCCUCGACACCGAUAACCAUCUCAUAUGAUAUGCCAAAAUCAUCAGAACCAUAACUUAUUCACCACAAACACACACAACAUGUAUUUUUCAAGCAACAAGGGGCUGAUAGGUUUCUCUUCUAAACCCCACCAGAAACCUGAGAUUAAGCAUCAAUAAUGCAAUAACAGCAUAAAACCUACAAUUCCAAAACAGCAAAAAGAAAAUAAUUGAAUUCAGAGAGAGACGAUAGAGUACUACUUCAUCAGACUUCAGACACCAUAGAAAGGCAGAGUGCAAUCAAAAUCAGAAUUUGAGACAAACUAGGAAGAAUCAUUAGCUACUCCGAGCGGACAGAACUAGCCAGCUUACGGAAUUUUUGGGGAGGUUUAUUUAUUCUUUUCUUUUUUCUGGACAAGAUUUUUAAAAUUGGAUUAACUCAAAUUGAUUUGGAAUUCUUUCAUUUAAUUUAAGUGGAUAGUAUUUAUAACUGCCUGGGUGAUUACUGAAAUCAGUGAAAUGAAAACAAGCAUGUAAACUUUUGCUUAGAGAAAACACACACAGCACAGGNACGGAGGGAGUAUAUUUAUUUUAAUUAUUAGUGAAUAGUAAUCUUAGUAUAUUGUACAUUAUCAUUCUUUAGCAUUUUGAAUAUGAUUACGGUAGCAUAUAAAUUACUAAAUAUCCAUAUAAAAAAAUUAUUUCACACACCAAUUUAAUUUUUUUUUAUGUUGUUGCAUACUCUUCCAUUUUUCGGUCAAAUUUUAUGCUCAAAUAAUCGUAUAAAAUCUUACGCCCGUUGAUUACUAAAAUGACAUUGAUUUAGGCAUAUCAAAACAAUAUCAUUUGUAUUUAAAAUUAACAUCUAACUAAACUAGGGCAUUAAUAAAGAAUCAGAGCAUAAAAUCCAGAAAAAGCGAAAGACUUGAAGUUGACGAAGAGAAAUCAACAAGAGAAAAGGCAAGUAGGUGGUGGGUUCGCCGAUGACUGAACCCUAGAUUAUGCGGCCAUGAAGCAAUAAGACAAAAAAAAUCGAAUAUUUUAUUGUUGUUACAGUUUUGAGCGUGACAAAUAGAAAAUUAACUUAAAAAAUUAUAUAGGGAGUGAAACACUAAAUUAAACACCCUAUGCCGACCGAAAUUAUGAUGGGCGACUUCUUCUUGUACUCGACAAUAAAUUUAGGCCAAAAAUUCUUAAAAUUAUAGCUACUUGUUUGGACUAAUAAUGUGACAGAUGUGUAUGCUAUCACUAUAAAUUAGUAACUUUUUUCAAUUUAUCUUUUGUAUGUGAUAAUGAUAUCUCUCCAAAGUCUAGCCAAAAGAUUUAUGGGCCGCUUUUUGACAAGACUUUAGAGGUGGCAAUUAGUGGCUUGUACCAUCAAUUUGAAAAUAUAGUAUAGCAUAUAAUAUAUUUAAUUAUUUAUAAUGCAAUAACUUUUUUGGUUGUGUUGUGCAAUUAUCUUGAGAAAAAGUGAACUAUCUCAAAAGAACUUCGUAACUCCACUUGCUAAAACUGAAUUCAAACAAAUCGAAACUUCAAUAUGCCAAUUUCUUUUCAGGGAGAUAAUAUGUCAAAAACCGAAAUCGAAAGAAUCGAACCAAAUAAGACACUUUUAUUUUUUAUAUAUUUAUUUUGGGGUGGGUCAAUGGUUAAGUAGAAUUAUUGGACUCAUUUUCAUAUGGCAACAAUUUCUGACAACUAACGUGGAUAAUUAUUUAUUUUUCAAAUAUACUCUGCAAACGUGAUCACAUAUAUACCGCAAUACAUGGGCAAUACUAUCAUUUUUUGGGGAGGUUUAUUUAUUCUUUUCUUUUUUCUGGACAAGAUUUUUAAAAUUGGAUUAACUCAAAUUGAUUUGGAAUUCUUUCAUUUAAUUUAAGUGGAUAGUAUUUAUAACUGCCUGGGUGAUUACUGAAAUCAGUGAAAUGAAAACAAGCAUGUAAACUUUUGCUUAGAGAAAACACACACACAGCAUAGGAAUCAAGUCCCAAUUAUAUUUGAUUACACUUGAACCUAAUUCCCAAAUAAAUUUGGGAAAUACCAUCUCAGAAGUUUACCCACACAACUUUUGAGAAAAAAUAUUUAAAGAAACUUGUGAAAUGUACAAUGAGAUAACAUAAUAAAUCAAUUCUCACGCGCCGAACUGAACGAAUGCAAUUUAAAAAUCAAACUUAGCAGAAUCAAAAUUUUCAAUUCAAUUUCAAAAACUGAAGAACCAAACUUUUGUUAUGGUAUACAAUCAAACUAGAGCCAUAUAGAUGUUAAUAUACUCAUAAGCUACUUGAAGUUCAAUUUUUAAAUUUUUUGUCUAGAGAGAUUUGUCAACAUAAACUAAUCAGUCUUGAGUUUGCCCAACCUGUACAAUAUCUUUCUAAUAUAACCUCUGAAUGUGACUUCAUUUGAUUCAGGGAAUUCUUUUGACAUCUGCAAAGUCAUAAAGAGAAUGAAAGAUCAUUGUUCUUUAAUCUUAUAUAUCAUCUUGGCCAGACAGAAAUAUGCUACAGCAUCCAAUACUUACCACAGUCCCAUUCUCUGACACCAAUGCCCUUGGUAAGGAGCCUUCCUCUGAACCAUCUUCGCACCGGUGAAGUGGCUUGAGGGGGUGGAACGUAGACUACUCUCAAUUUGCAUUCAUCUACUUGGUUCCCCGACUCUUUGUCGAACUAAAUACGGAUAAGGUAAACAUAUUUACCAUCUUUGACAAAACAUCCGCAGUCCUAACAAUCUUUGUAACAACAUAUACUGCAUGCUGCAGCAAGAAUCAUAAAAUUACCAUUUCUGGAGUAAUGACUACACUCUGGAGGAGAAACUUAUCCCUGCAUUGCAAAUCCGGUGGAGCCUCUUUUUGAGCUUGCAUGGUAACUAAAUGAUUGACCAAAGAAUUCCAGACUCACUAUUACGUAAGGAUGCAAUAACAAAAUAUCCUCUUAAAAACAUUUCCACCAUCUGAAAGUAACUAAAUUUACAUGAACCGUAGUUGAAAUGUAAAUCAAUUUGUGCCCACACACGCGCGCACACACACAUACACAUAUAUCUAUAUAGAGCGAGAGAGAGAGACCUGUAACAUCACAACUAGAGUGUGGCAUCACGACUCCAGUGUUUGGCCUCACACAGAACUUCUUUGGAUUUGUUGUCUUCACCUGAAUAGAGAAGCAGAAACCCAAAAAGAAGGUAAUUCAGAUACUUCAACUCAACAUCAAUGGCAUUUCUUACUCCUGUUUUCUUCAAAUUCACAAAACAAAUAAAUCAUUAAGUAAAACAUAAUGCUAAUCCAAAUGAAGGAUAUUUAUUUAUUUAUUUUGAGUCAAUCCAAAUGAAGGAUAUUAAGGACACAAAACAGAUACCUUGAAUGCAACAUGUUUCUCAGACUUGUUUGUCAAUUGCAUCGAACAUGAGAUCUGCUUCUUCAAUUCGACUAUCACACACCACAAAAUGUAAAAUAUAUUAACCCAAGAACAUCAGAACCAGGAAGAAGUGUGGAUCUAAAAGAAUAAAAAUUAAAUCAGCCUCAGUCACCAUUUUCCCUAAAUCACGGAAUCUUCUAGAACUCAAUUAAAAAAAACUUCCAUCACACUAAGACAGACCUAAAUUUGAAACAGAAAUACAAGAGGCUUCUCACUUACAUGGGAAUUGAAGUUCGAGAGGAUCAAUUUGAAGGAGAUCGCAGUUACUCAUCUCUAAGCGGAUUGCUGCUGUGCGCCAGAUAAUUGACCGUGUUAAAGAUUCCAGCUAGCGGCGGCGGAGUUUAAAUCCAAUCACCAUUUCACGGUGGAAGGCAAUAUUAAUUAAGAGGUGCGGGAGGAGAGAGAUCUAGGGUCUCAAAAUUUAGGAAAUCAUUACCAUCUGAUUUACAUUCCAAUUCUCUGACAACGAUGCCCUUGGGAAGGAGCCUUCCCCUGAACCCUCUCGCACUGGUGAAGGUGGUUGAGGGGGUGGAACGUAGGCUACUUUCAAUUUGCAUUCAUCUACUUGGUUCCCCAACUCUUUGUUGAACUAAAUGCAGAAUCAGGUAAAUACAUUUACCAUCUUUGACAAAACAUUCACAGCCCUAACAAUCUUUGUUCAAAAACAUGUACAGCAUGCUGCAGCAAGAAUCAUAAAAUUACCAUUUUUGGAGUAAUAUCCUUUGCAGAUAUCCCAGGGUUCACCACUACACUCUGGAGGAGAAACUUAUCCCUGCAUUGCAUAUCCGGUGGAGCCUCUUUUUGGGCUUGCAUGGUAACUGAAUGAAUGACCAAAGAAUUCCAGACUCACUAUUAUGUAAGGACGCAAUAACAAAAUAUCCUCUCAAAAACAUUUCCACCACCAAAAAGUAACUAAAUUUACAUAAACCGUAGUUGAAAUGUAAAUCUAUUUGUGGCCGCAUGCACAAACAUUUAGAGAGAGAGAGAGAGGUGGGACGGAGAGGGAGACCUGUGACAUCACAACUAGAGUGUGGCAUCACGACUCCAGUGUUUGGCCUCACACAGUACUUCUUCGGAUUUGUUGUCUUCACCUGAACAUAGAAGCAGAAACCCAGAAAGAAGGUAAUUUAGAUACUUCGACUCAACAUUAUAUAUAUACAUGGCUGUAAACGAGCCGAGCCGAAUACCGGGGGGCUCGAGCUCGGCUCGUUUAAAUAUUCGGGUGUUCUAGCUCGGCUCGAGCUUUUAUCUUGCUGUUUGAGCUCGGCUCGUGUGACCCACUUACCGAGCUCAAGCUCGAUUCGAGCUCAGCUCGUGUGAUACUCGAUAAUGUCGAAUUCGAGCUUGAGCUCGAGCUCGGCUCGUUAGAUGUUCGUAUAGAUGAUUUUCGAGCUCGAAUUCGUUAAGAAUUUAGAAAAAUUUUCUUAAUUAAUAUGUUACUCGAGUUCGGGUUAGUGUCGUUUAAGGCUCGUGUACUAGCUCGAUUAAAGGUUCGUGCACAAGCUCGCAAACAUGUUCACGAACAAUCGAAACCGAAUAUGUUCGCGAGCCGAGUGCUGUCAGGCUCGAGCUCGGCUCGUUUACUAUCGAAUCGAGCUUCGAACGAGCUUUUUCAUAGCCGAAUCUCGAAUAUCUUGUGAGUAGCUCUGUUCAUUUACAGUCCCACUCAAUAUCAAGGGCAUUUCUUAUUUAUGUUUUCUAUCAAAUUCACAAAAAACACAAUCCUAAUCCAAAUGAAGGCUAUUAAGGACACAAAACAGCUACCUUGAAUGCAACAUGAUUCCCAGACUUGUUCGUCAAUUGCAUCGAGCAUGAGAUCUGCUUCUUCAAUUCGACUAGCACACACCACAAAAUGCAAAACAUAUUAACCCAAGAACAUCAGAACCAGGAAGAAUCUAAAGUGUGGAUCUAAAAGAAAAGAAAAAAAAUUAAAUCAGCCUCAGUCACCAUUUUCCCUAAAUCACGGAAUCUUCUAGAACUCAACAAAACAAAAAAAAACCUUGCAUCACACUAAGACAGACCUGUAUUUGAAACAGCAAUACAAGAGGCAUCUCACUUACAUGGGAAUUGAAGUUCGAGAGGUUCAAUUUGAAGGAGCUCGCAGUUACUCGUCUCUAAGCGGAUCGCUGCUGGCCGCCGGAUAACUGUCGGUGUUAAAGGUUCCGGAUAGCCGCGGCGGAGCCUGAAUCCAAUUCCCCCCCUCAUUUCACGGCGGAAGGCGAUAUUAAUUUAAGGCUAAUUACACUUUGGCCCUGCAGUUAUGUAAAUUACAGUUUGGCCCUUCAGUUAAUUUAACUGUAUUUUUUUUGAUAAAUUAAAUAAGUAAAUAAAAAAAUUUAAAAACAAUGAGUUGAACAAGAGUAAAAAAUAAAAUGAUUCAAGAAAAAAGAAAUACAAGAAAGUUUGGUUUAUGUAUAUGAUUUCCACAAGUUAGUACUCCCUCCGUCCCACCAUUUUAGUCCCUUAUUCCAUUUUGAGAUGUCCCAAAAAAAUAGUCCAUUUUUCUAAUUAAUAGUACUAUAUAAAAAUAUUAUUUUUACUAAAUUAACCUUAUUUAAUACUCCACUUAAAUGUGAAAAGGAUGUGUAAAAAUAAUAAAUAAGGGUAUAAAAGAUAAAAAUAUAAAAAUUAAAUGAUUCAAGAAAAAAGAAUCAAAAAGUGAGGGGUAUGUAUAUGAUUUCCACAAGUUAGCACUAUUUUUUAUUUUUUAUUAAAUAGAUAAAUUUAAAAAUUACGCCAUAUCAUAUCAUAUUUCGAGUAUCUCUAGCUUAUAUUAACCUACUUAUUCGAUAUAUUUAGCUAGUUUCUUUAAAUAAACAUGUAACUGUUGUACUCCCCCGUCCCACAAAUCUUGAUGCAUCUGUUUUCGGCACGAGAAUUAAGGAGUUGUAGAUUAAUGUUUUAAGUGUGUGAGUAAUAAAAUAGAAAAGUGAUAAAGUAGAAGUGUGUCGGUAAUAAAGUAGAAAAUUGAUAAUUAAGAACCCUUAUUUUUUAGCUAAUUGUUACUAUAUUUAAAAAUGUAUCAAGAUUCGUGAGACGAUCCAAAAAAGAAUAUGCAUCAAGAUUCGUGGGACGAUGAGAGUAUAUAAUAACGAGGAGUAACAAACGUAUGGUGAGUCCAUAAAAUGUAAUUCCUUCCCUCAAAUAAACAAAUGUAAUUACUUUAAAUUUCAAGUGAAUAGUAAAUGUUAGAACCUGGUGUCAAGAUAAGAGGAGAAUCACUUUGAUCUUCUUUGGUGAAUCGAUGAAAACAAUUGGCAACAAAGAUAAUCAAUUGAUAAUUUAUGAGAAGAACAUUGAAAUGUAUGCGAUAUGAAGUGAAUAAUGCUCUUGAAACUUAAGAAUUCAUUGAAGAAUAAAAGUGCACUUAAUUACAAAUUUACAAUGAGCCAUGAUUUCUUAUUUAUACUAUUUUAUAUUAUAAGGGCAAAUUCGUCCUUCUAAAUGCUCACAUACACGACAUGUACUCAAAAUGGUUACAACAAGAAUUUAGAUAAAUUUGUCUUCAAAUAUCCUAUUCAUUUUUAAUCUUUUAAAUGUUUGUAAUAUUAAGUCUUUUGAUGAUGUGAUCUAUUUUUGUUAUUUUUUAAUUAAAUGAGGAUUAAUAAUAGUUCUCUAUUCUCAUUUGUUUGUUAUUCGAACUCCUAAUUUAAUUGAAUUGUGUUUUGAUACCUAUUUUCAUGAUAUGAUUUGUAUCUUGUAACUCUAAAAAAAAAGACUUAUUAAUUUAGAUAUUUUGGUCAAUGAAAGAAAAGACAAAUCAAUGUUGAGAAUUUUGUUGAGUAGAAUCUAUAAUGUAGAUAGGUGGUGUUAAUAAUUCAAAAGAAUGAAAAAAUUGAGUAGAUUUUCGAAGUAGAACUUUGAAUCUGGCAAUGCUAAGGCUAGGGAUAUCAAUGCAGCCCGAAACUCGUGGGUCGACCCGAAUAACUCGACAAAAUUAGAGGGUUAGGGUUGAAAAAUCGCAACCCGAAAAAACAUCCAGCCCGAUUAGCUCGCACCCGACUAAUCCGAAACCCGAUAGGGCUAGCCCGAAAACCCGAUGGGCUGGCCCAGUGGGCUGACGGAAUUGUGACUGAUGCAUCCAGUUACAACUUCUGCUAUGUUUAGAUCUAUGGUAUUUGCUUAAAUAUAUAUAUGUAGCCUCAUUAAAAAAAGUGAAAUUAAUUAGUUAGAAUAUAUAUGUGUGUGUGUGUGUGCAAUCUCCUUAAAAAAAGUGGAAAUUAAUUACGGGUUUUUUGUAGUAAUUUCAUUAUUAGUAUCUCAUUAGUUAGAAAUUAAUUAUUAGUAUCUCAUUUUAAAGUGUAUACCUAAUUUUUUUUCUGUNUUAAAUUUUACUAUCUCAUUUUAAUAUAAUUUUGUUUAUGUAAUCUUGAAUAUCUUAUAUUUUUGCAUUUCAUGCUUUGCUAUAUAAUUUAUAUCUUUAAUAUCUAUGUAUAUUCUAUACAUUAUACAUUAAAUCAUUAGGAAUAAUAAAAUACAAAUGAUAAUUUUAUUUUUACGCCUUUAACCUGAUUAGUCCGAUGAGCUAGCCCGAAACCCGAAAGUUUAGGGUUAGGGUUGAAGAUUUACAACUCGAAAAAAUCUCCAACCCGAUUAACCCGCACCCGACUAACCCGGAACCCGAUAGGGCUAGCCCGAAAACCCGGUGGGCUGACCUGAUUGACAUCCUUAGCUAAGGCUGCUAUAGACUUACUAGUUGUAUAGGUAUUAUAUAAUGAAUAUAUCAAUUAUAUAGAUUUACACCUUGUAACUUUAAAAGAAAAAAAAAAAAGUUUCAGUUGGUCAAUGAGGGAAAAGAUAAAUCAAUGUUGAUAAUUUUAUUGAGUAGAAUCUAGAAUGUAGAUAGGUGGUGUUAAUAAUUCAAAAGAAUAAAAUUGGAGCAAAUUUUCGAAGUAGAACGUUCAAUUUGGCAAUGCUAAAGCUGCUAUAGACUUUUCUUGGUUUUUUAAAUUUAUUAUUAACCAUAUAGUUUUUUUUAUAAAAUUAUUAACCAUAUCGUUAAAUGUACUUUUUACCCCAUUUUUUUUAAAGUUUCAUAAAGAUAUUGUUAAUUUAUCACUAACUAUAAAGGCGUUUAAAGAUAAUAGUAACACAAUCUUCUCUUUACUGAUUGGUUUAUUUUUGUGUUAAAAAUGGGUUCCACGUCAUCCUUUAUUUCAUUAAAUAUUCCACUAAUUUUCUCUUCUCUGAACUAGUAUUAUACUGUAUAAUUUUCUUUUUUCAGAAUCACAAAGGUAUAUUAUAUACCUCUACACCAUAUAACGGUGAAAAAACUACUCGCACGCAGACGGAAUUGGACUUGAGACAUCUCAUAAAAGAGAGUCCGUGGGUGCCUCNUUUUUAUAAGAAGGGGGCAUUUUUCCCUAUUAACACUUUUUUUUUUAAGUUUCAUAAAGAUAUUGUUAAUUUAUCACUAACUAUAAAGGCGUUUAAUGAUAAUAACACAAUCUUUUCUUUGCUGAUUGGUUUAUUUUUGUGUUAAAAAUGGGUUCCACGUCAUCCUUUAUUUCAUUAAAUAUUCCACUAAUUUUCUCUUCUCUGAACUAGUAUUAUACUGUAUAAUUUUCAUUUUUUUAGAAUUAUAAAGGUAUAUUAUAUACCUCUACACCAUAUAACGGUGGAAAAACUACUCGCACGCAGGCGGAAUUGGACUUGAGACCUCUCAUAAAAGAGAGUCUGUGGGUGCCUCAGCUUUGCCACUUGAGUUAGGCAUAAUUAGUUUAAAAUAUACUAUAUUUUUUAUGUUCUUAUAAUUUUCGUGGUGUGUUUUUCAUAUAUAGAGAAGGGCUAAAAUAAGAGCAUUUCUUAAGAUAUAAAAUAAGAAUCAUUUUCAAAUUAAAUGGUGAAAGCUAGCAAUGCAUGCACCACACACUGCUUGGACGUGAACACCGACACUCAACACUCAACCACAACAAAGAAAUAGAGAAACUCUCAAGGUUUCAAACUAAAUAAUAUGUCAAUAUUUGUUAAGGAACUAAUAUGUCAAAAAUUGAAAAUGAAAUUGAAAGAAUUGAAUCAAAUAGGACAGUUCUAUUUCUUUUCCUAGGUCACUUAAGGGGAAUUUUUGGAAAUAUUUUCAUACGGCAACAAUUUUUGACAAUGGAAUAUUGAUUUAAGGUUUCGAAAACUAAUUUAGAUAAUUUUUGACAAUUUUUUUCCUAGUAUAAUCUUUCGCCGUCAUCACAUAAAUACCUCAACAUAUAAAUAAUUACAACGCAAUUUCCAUAAUAUCAUUUUUUUAUUAAAAUGAACUCUCUGCAAAUUUCUUACAAUCGGGAGCCAACUUGACACACUGGAAAUCCACAUGGAACGUAAUGGCAUGAUAAUUAAAAAAUAACAUGGCAAAAACUACAUCAUAUGAAUGUUUUCAAAUUAAAAACUAUAUAUAUUUAUUAUUAGAUUUUUGUCUCUUUUUUUGGAUGAAUUAACAGUGUUCAAUAAAGAAAUUUAAAAGCCGUGUCACAAAUUUUUUGUCUUUUUGUUAAAAUGCUUUUUUUGCCAUUCUUUCAAUCAAUUUAGGGAGAGAAAAGCGUACUUACGCAGUCACUAAAACACUUAAAGCUGAAAAUCAAAGUCUAAAAAGUACGUUUUAUCAAUUGAAGAAAAAAUAAGGAAAAAAAAUCAGUUCAACUAAACCCAUUCAUCUAUAAACUGACAGAUCUAAGUGAUUUCUAAAUAUUUCAAACUUUAUAUUCAGUUACUUACAUCCAACUGCUGCAAACUACACAACUGCACUUAAUAGAGACCUGCCAAGGUAUAAACUUCCUAUUCGACUCGACUCGAUUCGAUUCAGUUUAUGAUCCUUCAGCAGACUGCUGUUGGUAAGCACGAGCGGUAAAACCAGCAUACCAAGCAACUCUCAUAAGUUGCACCCCAAGAACCAGCACCCAACAGCACACCAAUCCCCUAACUGUAUGCAACAUCCACGGUGGCGCCCCGACCUCCGCCCCGAGCUUCAGCCCUCUCAUCAGUUGCAGCAGUCGAUACGCUUCGUAAACAACCGGAGUCACCAACCACACCGGUGACUGCCAGUGCCACGUCAGCAUCUCCGUCACCAGUUGCACCAACAAAAGCAGGAAGUAAGGACCUAAGAGGACUGCAUAUGAGAUCAAAGGUAGCUGAGGCUGAAGC